rnacentral:rRNA from 1 species
UGCCAGACUCCUACGGGAGGCAGCAGUGGGGGAUAUUGGACAAUGGGGGGAACCCUGAUCCAGCGACGCCGCGUGAGUGAAGAAGUAUCUCGGUAUGUAAAGCUCUAUCAGCAGGGAAGAAGAAAUGACGGUACUUGAGUAAGAAGCCCCGGCUAACUACGUGCCAGCAGCCGCGGUAAUACGUAGGGGGCAAGCGUUAAUCGGAAUUACUGGGCGUAAAGCGCUCGUAGGCGGUAUGUCAAGUCAAGGGUGAAAUCCCCGCGCUCAACGUGGGAACUGCCUUUGAAACUGGCAAACUGGAGUGUGUGAGAGGAUAGUGGAAUUCCAGGUGUAGGAGUGAAAUCCGUAGAUAUCUGGAGGAACAUCAGUGGCGAAGGCGACUAUCUGGCACAUAACUGACGCUGAGGAGCGAAAGCGUGGGUAGCAAACAGGAUUAGAUACCCUCGUAAG